GUUACUUCUCAGCCUUUUGGCUAAGGUCAAGUAUAGUGUCUGUUUUUAGCAGUUUAAUAUCUAAUAUGUCCUCUAUCCAAGAACAAUACAGUAAAUGGAUUUUGGAACUAGGAGACUGGAAUCAGAGCUUGCUCCAUCCUCUCCAUCCUUUGACCUGGUAUUGCAGCUCUUCCAGGAAGGGUGUGCCCCCU
ensembl:snRNA U2 U2 spliceosomal RNA